UACGUAGGGUGCAAGCGUUAAUCGGAAUUACUGGGCGUAAAGCGUGCGCAGGCGGUUUUGUAAGACAGGCGUGAAAUCCCCGGGCUUAACCUGGGAAUGGCGCCUGUGACUGCAAAGCUGGAGUGCGGCAGAGGGGGAUGGAAUUCCGCGUGUAGCAGUGAAAUGCGUAGAUAUGCGGAGGAACACCGAUGGCGAAGGCAAUCCCCUGGGCCUGCACUGACGCUCAUGCACGAAAGCGUGGGGAGCAAACAGG
rnacentral:rRNA from 1 species